GACGAACGCUGGCGGCGUGCUUAACACAUGCAAGUCGAACGGAAAGGCCCUGCUUUUGUGGGGUGCUCGAGUGGCGAACGGGUGAGUAACACGUGAGUAACCUGCCCUUGACUUUGGAAUAACUUCAGGAAACUGGGGCUAAUACCGGAUAGGAGCUCCUGCUGCAUGGUGGGGGUUGGAAAGUUUCGGCGGUUGGGGAUGGACUCGCGGCUUAUCAGCUUGUUGGUGGGGUAGUGGCUUACCAAGGCUUUGACGGGUAGCCGGCCUGAGAGGGUGACCGGCCACAUUGGGACUGAGAUACGGCCCAGACUCCUACGGGAGGCAGCAGUGGGGAAUAUUGCACAAUGGGCGGAAGCCUGAUGCAGCAACGCCGCGUGCGGGAUGACGGCCUUCGGGUUGUAAACCGCUUUCGCCUGUGACGAAGCGUGAGUGACGGUAAUGGGUAAAGAAGCACCGGCUAACUGCGUG
rnacentral:rRNA from 1 species